AGCGAACGCUGGCGGCAGGCUUAACACAUGCAAGUCGAGCGGGCGUAGCAAUACGUCAGCGGCAGACGGGUGAGUAACGCGUGGGAACGUACCUUUUGGUUCGGAACAACCCAGGGAAACUUGGGCUAAUACCGGAUAAGCCCUUACGGGGAAAGAUUUAUCGCCGAAAGAUCGGCCCGCGUCUGAUUAGCUAGUUGGUGUGGUAACGGCGCACCAAGGCGACGAUCAGUAGCUGGUCUGAGAGGAUGAUCAGCCACAUUGGGACUGAGACACGGCCCAAACUCCUACGGGAGGCAGCAGUGGGGAAUAUUGGACAAUGGGCGCAAGCCUGAUCCAGCCAUGCCGCGUGAGUGAUGAAGGCCCUAGGGUUGUAAAGCCCUUUUCCGAGGGAAGAUGAUGACGGUACCUCGGGAAUAAGCCCCGGCUAACUACGUGCCAGCCGCCGCGGUAA
rnacentral:rRNA from 1 species